rnacentral:rRNA from 1 species
UACGAAGGGGGCUAGCGUUGUUCGGAAUUACUGGGCGUAAAGCGCGCGCAGGCGGUUCUUCAAGUCAGAGGUGAAAGCCCAGAGCUCAACUCUGGAAUGGCCUUUGAGACUAGAGAACUAGGGUACGGGAGAGGUGAGUGGAAUUCCGAGUGUAGAGGUGAAAUGCGUAGAGAUCGUAAGGAAGACCAGUGGCGAAGGCGAGUCUCUGGACAGUUACUGACGCUGAGGCACGAAGGCCAGGGGAGCAAACGGG